rnacentral:piRNA from 1 species
ACAGAACACUGUAGGUAAGGGAG